rnacentral:rRNA from 1 species
GAUGAACGCUGGCGGCGUGCCUAAUACAUGCAAGUCGAGCGAACAGACGAGGAGCUUGUUCCUCUGACGUUAGCGGCGGACGGGUGAGUAACACGUGGAUAACCUACCUAUAAGACUGGGAUAACUUCGGGAAACCGGAGCUAAUACCGGAUAAUAUAUUGAACCGCAUGGUUCAAUAGUGAAAGACGGUUUUGCUGUCACCUAUAGAUGGAUCCGCGCCGCAUUAGCUAGUUGGUAAGGUAACGGCUUACCAAGGCGACGAUGCGUAGCCGACCUGAGAGGGUGAUCGGCCACACUGGAACUGAGACACGGUCCAGACUCCUACGGGAGGCAGCAGUAGGGAAUCUUCCGCAAUGGGCGAAAGCCUGACGGAGCAACGCCGCGUGAGUGAUGAAGGUCUUCGGAUCGUAAAACUCUGUUAUUAGGGAAGAACAAAUGUGUAAGUAACUAUGCACGUCUUGACGGUACCUAAUCAGAAAGCCACGGCUAACUACGUG